AAGAGCCCUAACGAUUGUUACAGCUGUGGUCCCAACAGUCCUCAGGGGCAGAGAGGAUGUUGAGGAUGUCAAUGUUGUUUGUUCAAAAGCCUGCAGAGGCCAAAUCCAGGCCUAGAACAUAACACUGGAUUUCAUCCAUAUUUAUUGAACCGAAUGGUAUGAAUUGAACUGCAAUGGAGACAAUGACCCCGUGAGUCGAAGUACCUUGCCGAAAGUUGCACGGCCAGUAAGAAUGAGGUUGAAUUCAGAAUUUGAAGCCAUUUGCCUGACUUUGCUGUGUUAUGAGAAUCCCACAUUCCAAGCUGAAUUUACGACAAUGAAGUUUCCCCUGCGCUAUACGGCUGAGGAAGAGACACAGAGAGGAGGCCAAGCAAACGAGAGGCAGAGGUUGAACGUCAAGCCUGCCCUGAAGUCAGCUGUUCUGUCUCCCACCCCAGCCGGCUUCUUGGUUAAUGGACCUCAGUUUCUUAGCACAAGAUGGAGGGGUCGGUGGGAGAAGCAGACUCCCCGUUGAGCAGAGAGCCUGAUGCAGGGCUCCAUCCCAGGACCCCGGGAUCAUGAUCUGAGCUGAAGAUAGACGCUUCACUGACUGACCCCCCAGGUAUCACCCACUGUGUUUUUGUAACGAACUAAACUCUAUUCCUGAUCAACUUUAGCCUCGUCUAUGCGAUUUCUUUCACAUCAUUUCCUGCUAAUGUCUUGUCUUUAAUCCUCUAUCCCCAGGUCUACAUCGCGCCGUGUUUGUGAGGAAAAGGGAUCUUGGCACUGCUUGCUGCGUGCGGCUCCGCGUCUGGCUUGGGCCCCCUUUGCAUGUAAGAGCUUCAAAAAUAUGUGAAUAGUGAGUAAAAGAAGUGGUAACAAAAGAAUUUUUGGACAUAUUCAUUGUUUUCGGCUUGAUAGGACAAAUCGCGUCACCUUGCUGAUGAUAGAACUCCAAGUAAAUUCUAAAGAAGCGUGUUCCAUCAAUCCUAUUUUAUUACACAAAUAACUCUCUCUCUGCUUUGUGUCCGGAACAACUGAUAUCAGUCACCUCCUUAUUUCUAGCAAGCAGCUUAUUUUCUUGCUACAGUGAUCUAAUUUGCCAAUUGAAUCACUAAUAACCAGUUUCUGACCCCUGCUUCUCCACCUCAAGAAUAAUUUAACAGAUAGAUAGUACUUUGUUUCAAAGUCCAUUAGAAUAUCAGAAGAAUGCUUUGUUAAUGACUGAAAGCAUGUGAUAAAAUUUAAUUAUAUAAUUAAUCGUUGGCAGAGAAGUAGAUAAUUUGGUUUUACCCUUACUCUAAUCAUACCUCUAUUCUGUUUUUUAAAUAGGU
rnacentral:lncRNA from 1 species